AGAUGUGAGGACGAUCUGGCUGUGACAUCUGUCACCGCAUUGAUUACCAGGGUUGAUUUGGCUGAUCUGGCUGGCUAGGCUGGUGUCCCCUUCCAUCCUCACUGCUCCAUGCACAUCCCUCCCAAAGCUGCAUUCUCAGUCGAAGAGGAAUACCAUCCCCGAUAAAGGAGGACCAGUCUUCGGUCAAGGGUAUAUGAGUAGCUGCACUCCCCUCCUAGAACCUCCAAGCCUUCAAAUAAUUGGUGAUUCUUAAGAUACAUGGAGCUAACUAGGGGUUAGAAUGAUUUCCCAAACUUCUGCUAGAAGGCGACUAUAGUGCCAAACCAUACUGUCAACUUUU
ensembl:misc_RNA 7SK 7SK RNA